rnacentral:rRNA from 1 species
CCAUGCCUACAAUAUAGCGUUAAUGCAUUAGAUAUCAUUAGAAAUCUAUUGUUAAGUGCACUCAGGCUAGAGUAGUACUAGGAUGGGUGACCGCCUGAGAAGUACUAGUGUUUUACAUGCC